UCUUUACACAAUCAUUACUAACUGUGCCA
rnacentral:piRNA from 1 species